rnacentral:rRNA from 1 species
UAGAUGCGAGAGUAGAGCAUAUCAAUAAGCGGAGGAAAAGAAACUAACAAGGAUUCCCCUAGUAACGGCGAGUGAAGCGGGAAGAGCUCAAAUUUGAAAUCUUCAAGGUUUCCCUUGACGAAUUGUAGUUUAUAGAAGUGUUUUCUGUAGUGGAGUUUGGUAAAAGUUCUUUGGAAUAGGACAUCAUAGAGGGUGAGAAUCCCGUAUUUGAUCCAUUAUUUCCUAGCGUUGUGAUACACUUUCAACGAGUCGGAUUGUUUGGGAAUGCAGUCCAAAAUGGGUGGUAAAUUUCAUCUAAAGCUAAAUACUGACGAGAGACCGAUAGCGAGCAAGUACCGUGAGGGAAAGAUGAAAAGAACUUUGAAAAGAGAGUUAAACAGUACGUGAAAUUGUCAAAAGGGAAGCGUUUGACACCAGUGUUGUUUUUCCGAAAAUCAAUUACGAAUGUUUUAUUUUUGAGAAGUUAUGACUUCAUCGGCUUGCUCCUUUCUUUAUGAAACUUUCUUAAUGCACUUUUCGGUUAACAAGUCAACAUCAAUUUCUUUUGUUGUAAAAGGGUAUGAGGAAGGUGGCUUUCUUUUCGGAGAAAGUGUUUAUAGCCUUGUACCUCUGCAAUCGGAGAGAUUGAGGUCUGCAGCGUAGAUCCUUCGGGGUUAGAUACAUUUGUGCUAAGUUAUAGCUUUUCAUAGACAACUUGUUGACUAUGUUUAGUCUUGUAGCUUACUCGCUGACGCUAUUUUACCUACGCUUAGGAUGUUGACGAGACUGUCGAUCUC